UACGGGGGGAGCAAGCGUUGUUCGGAUUUACUGGGCGUAAAGGGCGCGUAGGCGGCCACCGCAAGUCGACUGUGAAAUCUCCGGGCUUAACUCGGAAAGGUCAGCCGAUACUGCGGGGCUAGAGUGCAGAAGGGGCAACUGGAAUUCUCGGUGUAGCGGUGAAAUGCGUAGAUAUCGAGAGGAACACCUGCGGCGAAGGCGGGUUGCUGGGCUGACACUGACGCUGAUGUGCGAAAGCUAGGGGAGCAAACGGG
rnacentral:rRNA from 1 species